UUUCUAAAACUCGGAUUCCUGGAUUCUAUGCCAUGUGGUCUUGUUUGAGACAUCUAGAAAAAAUGUUUAUCAUACACGAUACUUCUCUGAGUUUGGACAGAGAGGCUGUGAAUGACCUGGUGUUUUCUCAUCUUCCUGGAGGUGGACAAUGUUUGCAUGUUUUCGUUGGGAUUCAUGGAGUCAUAGAGUGAAUGCUGGGGUUGCUGUUUUCCCUCAUACAUAAUAUUUCUCACACCACUUUUUGUGACUUUCUUGAUUCUACUUCUUCAAUUUAAGUUUAAAUCUACAAAAUGAAUCCUCCAAAGGGCUUCCAGAAAAAAUUCUAUACCUGUUAGACCUGUUCCUGAACCAUCCAUGAUGCAGAUCUUUGAAUCUGGAAAAUGGAUAGAGAGAAGCAAGUUUGAGAAGUAACGGAGAGAGAAAAGGAUUUCAUUCAAGAGCUUCAGUUUAUCUUCAUAAUUGAAAGCUAAAGAGCAGGAAAUGGGAGGAGGGUAAGCCAUAUGUUAUGCGACCCAAGGGAGAAAGCCUCAAUAAUGAUGUCAUUUGCUCUGAAGACACAUUGCACCUACAGACGGGAGCAUAUCUGAGGACCAGAGGAGCACCUGCAGCCUGAGAAGCUUUCUGGGGUUGAUUGGCUCAUUUCCUCCCUCCCCAGCUGCAUUCGAGUCAGAAACUGGUUGGCCUAUUUCACAGAUGUGGGACUGAGACCCUGACAGGUAUGGCAUUCGCUGGGUAGCCUGGACCGGGUGAGGAUAGAUGACAGCACAGGUGUCCUGUCGGCCCUAGACGCCGCCAAUCAACUCAUAGUUCUGUUUUCCAAUGUACACACAAUAAAAUCACUAUUUUUUUCAUGUGAAUCUUCCUUUUGGUAAUUUCCUAAGAUCCCACAAAUAUCCUCAUCUAUGCAUGUUAUGUCAACAUUCACCAUUAAUAACAUUUUUCAUUCUGGAAAAAGAAUGGAUGUAUUGCUGUAGAUCAGCAACUUAGAAUGGCUCAAAUCUGCUUGGCAACUUCCAGGCACUGUUUCACUGAGACACUUUGGAGGGUUGUGGGCUGAAAA